UACGAAGGGGGCGAGCGGUGUUCGGAAUUACUGGGCGUAAAGGGUGUGUAGGCGGUUUAUUAAGUCGGGCGUGAAAGCCCAGGGCUCAACCCUGGAACUGCGCCCGAGACUGGUAAGCUUGAGUUCGGAAGAGGUGCGUGGAAUUCCCAGUGGAGAGGUGAAAUUCGUAGAGAUUGGGAAGAACACCAGCGGCGAAGGCGGCGCACUGGUCCGAUACUGACGCUGAGUCGCGACAGCGUGGGGAGCAAACAGG
rnacentral:rRNA from 1 species